rnacentral:tRNA from 1 species
GGAGGUAUAGCUCAGUAGUAGAGUGCAUGCCUGGCAUGCACAAGGUCCUGGGUUCAAUCCCCCGUGCCUCAG